rnacentral:rRNA from 1 species
GAUGAACGCUGGCGGCGUGCCUAAUACAUGCAAGUCGAGCGAACAGAUGAGGAGCUUGCUCCUCUGACGUUAGCGGCGGACGGGUGAGUAACACGUGGAUAACCUACCUAUAAGACUGGGAUAACUUCGGGAAACCGGAGCUAAUACCGGAUAAUAUAUUGAACCGCAUGGUUCAAUAGUGAAAGACGGUUUUGCUGUCACUUAUAGGUGGAUCCGCGCCGCAUUAGCUAGUUGGUAAGGUAACGGCUUACCAAGGCAACGAUGCGUAGCCGACCUGAGAGGGUGAUCGGCCACACUGGAACUGAGACACGGUCCAGACUCCUACGGGAGGCAGCAAUAGGGAAUCUUCCGCAAUGGGCGAAAGCCUGACGGAGCAACGCCGCGUGAGUGAUGAAGGUCUUCGGAUCGUAAAACUCUGUUAUUAGGGAAGAACAAAUGUGUAAGUAACUAUGCACGUCUUGACGGUACCUAAUCAGAAAGCCACGGCUAACUACGUG